CCUACGGGAGGCAGCAGUGGGGAAUAUUGCGCAAUGGGCGAAAGCCUGACGCAGCAACGCCGUGUGAGGGAUGAAGGCUUUCGGGUCGUAAACCUCUGUCGGAAGGGAAGAACGGGCAUUGGUCUAAUAGGCCUUUGUUUUGACGGUACCUUUAGAGGAAGCACCGGCUAACUCCGUGCCAGCAGCCGCGGUAAUACGGAGGGUGCAAGCGUUAUUCGGAAUUACUGGGCGUAAAGCGCACGUAGGCCGCUUUGUAAGUCAGGGGUGAAAUCCCACGGCUCAACCGUGGAACUGCCUUUGAAACUGCAGAGCUUGAAUCCUGGAGAGGGUGGCGGAAUUCCUGGUGUAGGAGUGAAAUCCGUAGAUAUCAGGAGGAACACCGGUGGCGAAGGCGGCCACCUGGACAGGCAUUGACGCUGAGGUGCGAAAGUGUGGGGAGCAAACAGGAUUAGAUACCCCAG
rnacentral:rRNA from 1 species